rfam:Bhargavaea cecembensis DSE10 contig000007, whole genome shotgun sequence.
AACCGCCGUAUACGGAACCGUACGUACGGUGGUGUGAGAGGACGGGAGGUAUCACUCCCUCCUACUCGAU